CUGUCAAUCAAAGCGUACGUCACAUCUCACGCACAAGGCAGCGUCGUGAAGUGCCGUAAAUCGUUGGCGCAUGCGCAUUUUCAAUUAGCUAGAUUCAUCACCCUCUCCGGAUUCAAGGUUGAAACAGAGAACCGACAAAGAUCUCCGUCCGCUGUGUGAGCUCUGAGAUGCCAAGAACUGGUCCAUGGGUGUGAGCCGGCUGGAUGUGUUCUACAGAAGACUGCUCCUCACCAAACUCUUCAUUGGGGGAUGGGGGAAGCCUGAAGAUCUCAAAAGGAUCUUUGAGUUUCGUAAAAUCAUUGGAGACAGAGAGAGGUGCAAGACCCUGGUUCCUGAGGAUUAUCCAGUUUACCUGAACAAGACAGAGGAGCUCACUGACUGCUACAUCCAUGAGGGAUACUUCAUUUCUCCUCUGGAGCACCUGGUGCCAGGAAUCUUACCAUCAGAGGCAGUUAAGGCCAGGUUUCAGUUUAUUGUUCCUAAACGGUGGAAGAAGAACCGAUCAGUCUGCAUCCAGCUAGCUGGGACCGGAGACCAUUUUUUCUGGCGCCGGCGGACCCUGAUGGCCAGGCCCAUGGUGAAGGAGGCAGGAAUGGCUUCGCUGCUUCUGGAGAAUCCCUAUUAUGGCUACAGGAAACCUAAAGACCAGCUGAGGUCCAGUCUGAAAAACGUGUCAGACCUGUUUGUGAUGGGGGGAGCUCUGAUCCUGGAGUCCACUGUCCUCCUCCGCUGGCUGGAAAGAGAAGGAUACUGGCCACUGGGAAUGACCGGCAUUUCUAUGGGAGGAUAUAUGGCAUCCUUGGCAGUGACCAACUGGCCCAAACCCAUCCCUCUGGUCCCAUGUCUGUCCUGGUCCACAGCCUCCAGUGUCUUCACCACAGGUGUGCUGAGUAAAGCCGUGAACUGGACCAAGCUGGAAAAACAGUAUGCUGUGAAUUCAUUGUAUGAACAGGAGAUCAUAAAGCUACUGGAGUACUGUGGGGAUGAUUCCUUUAAGAUGGGUUCAGAGUCUCUCAAAGGGAAAGACUCAUCGGACCCUCUACUCGACCUGUCCGGAGACCUUGGAGUGCCAGUGGGCCAACACUUCAGAGCUGAGGGGGGGUCGGGAGGAGCAGAUAGACACUGCUUUAUGUCAUCAGCAAACAGCAGCCAAACACACUGUCUGUCAAGUGCAGCAGACAGGAAGAAGAAGACAUUUUCAACCCAAUGUUGUCGGCCAUCACUGCACACAGAGUCCAUAAACUUUAUGAAGGGCGUGAUGGAUGAGUGCACACACAUGGCCAACUUCUCUGGUUGGCAGCAGGUUUCCCAAGAUAAACCUGUCCUGUCUGUGUGUCCCAGUCCCCGUAGACACCAGUCUCAUCAUUGUGGUCCAGGCCAAAGAGGACGCCUAUAUUCCCCGAGCAGGAGUCCUCAGUCUGCCGGAAAUUUGGCCUGAAUGUGAAGUCAGAUUCCUGCGUGGAGGACACAUCAGUGCAUACCUGUUCAAACAGAAGGUCUUCAGACAGGCCAUAUAUGAUGCAUUCAACAGGUUUUGCCUGAAGUAUCCAACCCUGCACUGAUACAGAAGGUCAGCGUUCCUGUGGGAGGACUGGGGCCAGAGUCUGGACAGAAGAAGAAACGAUGAAGACUGAGAGUCAGGACAGUCAGCUGUUCAUCAGCUGUAAAUGUUCAGAGUUCCUGUUGAGCUUCAGGGAACACCCAGAUGAAUCUGGGUGACUGGGACUGUCUCAGUGUCUAACCUGCCAAUGUGAUGUUGUCAAAGAAAUCCUUUAGCCUUACUGUGAUUAGCUGGUGGUGACAGAUGAUGAUAGCUCUGUUUUCUACACUUUGUUGGCUUCAUGUAGCUUUCAUUCCACAAUAUUCCAGCUUCUUCCUUCAGAGAGAAACAUCUGGAUAGCGCCAGUGAACACAGCUAUACUGAUCAUAUCCAGGAGAAAGAUGAUUGUAGGUUUAUUAUUCCAAGAAGAAGUUUUAAUGCAGUACUAAUGACAAUCCAGUCCUUUAUUCCAAGAUGAGGGACAUCAGCCAGACUCGUCCCUGCUGUGUGUUGACUUUUUAAUCCAUUUGCAAAUUGAUUAAAGUGAGUUUUUCAUCG